GGUGCCUGCGGACAGGGGAGGGGGGGCAUUCUUCCCUCUCUUUCUCCCCCCUCCCCCAACUCUCUAUUCCCCCUCUUUCUCCCCGUGUCUCAUUCUUCCCUCUCUGUCUCUUUCUCCCCCUCCCCAUCUCUCUAUUCCCCCUCUUUCUCCCCGUGUCUCAUUCUUCCCUCUCUGUCUCUUUCUCCCCCUCCCCAUCUCUCUAUUCCCCCUCUUUCUCCC